AUGGGACCCUUUUCCUUAGUCAUCAACUUGUAUUCUGUGUCCUUAGUUGUCUGGUCUCAGUGGGACUGUGUGAAUCUUGAUAACUCACUAUACCAUUGGGUACCAUUGGGCAGAGUAACUUUUUGCUCCUUUAGAUUUUGCCUGACUUUAGUAUUCUAUUUAUCUUGCAGCAAGCAGCUCUGUGUUACAAUGGAACGUGCCUCAGUCUUCUAGAAAACAAGCAAGCUGGCUCUGUGCUAUGAUGGAAUGUACCUUGGUCUUCUACAAAACAAGCAAGCAGCUCUGUGCUACAAUGGAACGUGCCUCAGUCUUCUAGAAAACAAGCAAGCAGCUCUGUGCUACAAUGGAACGUGCCUCAGUCUUCUAGAAAACAAGCAAGCUGGCUCUGUGCUAUGAUGGAAUGUACCUUGGUCUUCUACAAAACAAGGUAAGAUGUUCCAUGGUUUCAGUCACCCUGGAUUGGUCUUUAUAUUCAUUCUGUCUCUUCAUCUAUAAGGCUCUAACCCACAGGACCUC